rnacentral:rRNA from 1 species
GAUGAACGCUGGCGGCGUGCCUAAUACAUGCAAGUCGAGCGAACAGAUGAGGAGCUUGCUCCUCUGACGUUAGCGGCGGACGGGUGAGUAACGCGUGGAUAACCUACCUAUAAGACUGGGAUAACUUCGGGAAACCGGAGCUAAUACCGGAUAAUAUAUUGAACCGCAUGGUUCAAUAGUGAAAGACGGUUUUGCUGUCACUUAUAGAUGGAUCCGCGCCGCAUUAGCUAGUUGGUAAGGUAACGGCUUACCAAGGCAACGAUGCGCAGCCGACCUGAGAGGGUGAUCGGCCACACUGGAACUGAGACACGGUCCAGACUCCUACGGGAGGCAGCAGUAGGGAAUCUUCCGCAAUGGGCGAAAGCCUGACGGAGCAACGCCGCGUGAGUGAUGAAGGUCUUCGGAUCGUAAAACUCUGUUAUUAGGGAAGAACAAAUGUGUAAGUAACUAUGCACGUCUUGACGGUACCUAAUCAGAAAGCCACGGCUAACUACGUG